UAAUGGUUGGAUGCCAAACAAAGUUCAAAAGUCAAUGUUAUCUUCCCCAAAAACAUAUCUUUUCUCUGCUUCAUUGUGCAGAAAAGCCUGCUACGGUUAUUAAACCCACACGCAAAGCUUUUUUUUUUCCACUCUUCUCUUCAAACUACAUUUUGCAUCUCUAUCUUCUCUUUCUUGACUUCUUCAACCUUCUGAAUCCGUAUGUGUAACUCCAUUUCUCCGAAAAUAUGAAUAUUGAGGUAACAAGAUUUCCACCCAAACUGGCAUAAGAACUGCCUUUGCAAUUGCUGGGGUAACACUCAUCUUCACUUGAAAUGUAUGACAUAAAUAUAUAUUUGGUCGGUUAAAGUAUAGCUUUUGGAAGGUAUCUAAUUUUUAUGAUGCUCUUUAUUUGCACUCCCAGUUUUGACCUCUUUGACGAAAUGUUUGAGCAAGAUAGCACUCCUAAUAUGAUUCUACUAACUUUUUUAGAUUUAUAAAAUCAUUAUUUUUUCAACAACUAAUUAUGUAAUUCUGUUUGAAAGGUGGAUAUAUUGUUGAGGUUGUCAAAAUUAUAACUGAGAAAAUAGUUUUUGAUGACAUCCACUCUCCGGACAGACUUUGAUGUAAAGAUUAUGAACCUUUGAUGUUGUGGAUCAAGUUGUUGUUUAUUGUUUUAAUUGCAGGUGAAUAAUGAAAGUCUUAAGCUGGUUUUUAAGAAUGGGAGGGGUUAUAACUUCUAGCUGUUAUUUACGUUAUUGAUGCCAAGGAGGUCGCAUUUUUUCAAUGCCAUGGUUUGAUAUUUUUCCUUUUCACUUUGCUUGUCAUAUCCUACUUAUUACCACUUCAGAUUGUACACGUAUAGCUUUGCGGAUAGAGUUAUUCCUGCCGAUUCAGUGGAGACGUUUAUCGAUGCACAACAUAUGGUUGCACAUGAUGUGAGGCUAUUACGUCCAUUGAGGAAAGUGUGCAUGUCACCAGUAUAAUAUGAAGAUACUCUGCAUGUAUUUGGCUGGCACAAGCAAUGUGUUCACUAAUUGGAUCACCGGAUUAAACUAUGAGGAGCUGGUUAUAUUUACCACAACUAUUAGGAUCACAACCCAAAUUUGAUUCCAGGUUCUGAACUUAAAAUUUGCAAUUGCAUCAUUUGGAGGAUACUUUUGCCAGUUGUGAAUAAAAUCAUGAUGUGAUGAAUCUGAUUAAAUAUACAACCACCCUUAAAUAUGACAAAAUAUGAAUCAUAUUACUAAGUUAGUAAAGUCAUGUAUCAUACUGCUAAGUUAUUAGAGUCAUGCAUCUUUCAUGAAAUCAUCAUGAUGUUGCUAGCACUAAACGAUUACAGAAGUCUUAUUUGUUUCAGGUCCAUUUGAGAAGUUUAUGCAGGUGACAAUUAUCUUGCUAUUAAUGGGACAACAAUACUCCAAGAAAUAUGCUAUCAAGGCAGUAAUGUAGUCACACGCUAGGACUGCUGACACCACUUCAGAAAAUGCAGUCUUAACUUUAAAGAGAUCUAAUAUCUUAUCUACAAGGCAGAAAAUAGUGAGGAAGAAAGUAGUGGUGAAGAAAGUUGGUGGUGGCAGUGUCUCUUUUUGCUAGAAUUCCAUCUGUGUGGAAGUGUCACUUUUUGCUAGAAUUUGGGGAGAAAUUAUAGUCUACAGGCUUUUAGAGUUUCUAAGUGUUUUCAUUUGGUGACUUUGAGUAGAAUGAAAUCACCAUUGUAGCAAUGUAUUAGUUGAUGACCAUGAUCAUUUUAAUUCCCAGAGAACGGUGCAGUUUGAUGGUUGAGAAAGUUUUCAAUACUUUUUUAGGCAAUAUUUCAAUACUUUAUUAUAAUGUAGAAUGUUCUUUGAUUAAAAGA